UGGGGAAUAUUGGACAAUGGGGGAAACCCUGAUCCAGCAAUGCCGCGUGUGUGAAGAAGGCCUGAGGGUUGUAAAGCACUUUAGGUGGGGAGGAUGGUAGAGCAGGUUAAGAGCUAGUUUUAUUGACGUUACCCGCAGAAUAAGCACCGGCUAACUCCGUGCCAGCAGCCGCGGUAAUACGGAGGGUGCAAGCGUUAAUCGGAAUUACUGGGCGUAAAGAGUGCGUAGGCGGUUAGGUAAGUUAUCUGUGAAAUCCCUGGGCUUAACCUAGGUAGGAAAGAUAAAACUGCUUGACUAGAGUGUGGUAGAGGAUAGUGGAAUUUCCGGUGUAGCGGUGAAAUGCGUAGAGAUCGGAAGGAACACCAGUGGCGAAGGCGGCUAUCUGGACCAACACUGACGCUGAGGCACGAAAGCGUGGGGAGCAAACAGG
rnacentral:rRNA from 1 species